UCAUGUGGAGUUUGUCGAUACAACUAAAGAAGAUAAGGCUGGUCAACUCGUCAUUAUCUGGUCAAAGUUUUGUUUAUUGGGCUUAAACCCAAGCUGGUGUGUUUACAAGAAGAAAAACAAAGUCAUGGGCUUACAUGUUUAAAACCCAAUUGGUGUCUGCUGGUAUAUAAACGAGACAAGGGUUUUAAACGUGAAAAAGGGGAAGCAGAGAUAAUUAACAGAAGGAGCAGAGAGAUAGAGUCACGGUGAAGAGAUUCUAGGUCAUCGAUCUUCUUCAAACUGAGUUGUCUUCUUCACGUCACGUCUUUGAGCAAAGUUAAUAGUUCUGGGUUUUUUCUACUUGUGGUAUCUGAAACAAGUCGAAAGAUAGACGUGAGGUUAUACGUGAGAGAGAAGAAACUAAAUUCUUUGUAAACACUUUAUUGUUCUAGUGGAUCGUUGAGAGUACCGUCUCUCCCCAGACGUACCGAAAGGGAACUGGGUUACCAAAUUUCUUGUGUCUUGCUUGAAAACAACAAACAAACUAAGUAUCAAGGUUAAAUUGAUCUAAGUAGUUCAGGUUAAGAGCUAAGACUAGAGGUUGAAAUCAUUAUUAAAACCUCACAAGUGGUAUCAGAGCACCAGGUUUAAGCGGAGGAUACGGUUUCAGUUUCUGAUCUGCGAUUGGUGUUGUUUCGGGAAAGUCCAGGUUAUUCGAUCAAGUGUUUACAUCUACAAAGUCUGAAUCAUGGAACCAUCUUUUCGUAAAAUUGAGGUGGAGAAGUUUGAUGGUAAAGGAGACUUUGGUAUGUGGAAAUUCAAGAUGCUUAUGGCACUUGAAAAUCUGGGGUUAGAUUCUGCAAUUAGUGAGGAAGAAACUAGCGCAGCAUCUGACAAAGGAAAAGGAAAAGAAGAUGAGAUAGAUGCUAAGGCUACUCCAUCUCCGAUUGAUCCAAAGAAGAAGGAGAUAGACAAAAAGGCAAAGAACUUGAUAUGUUCUAGCCUUAGUAAUUUGGUCUUGCGGAAUGUUAUGAAGCAAACAACAGCUCUAGGUGUGUGGAAAGCUCUAGAGAAGGAUUAUCAGACAAAGACCUUACCAAAUCGCAUUUAUCUGAAGCAAAGAUUUGCCAGUUUUAAGAUGGAAGAGCACAAAAGCAUAGAGGAGAAUCUUGACGUGUUUCUUAGGCUGGUGGACGAUUUGGAGAGCUUGAGUAUAACUAUAAGUGAUGAAGAGCAUGCAAUUCAGGUGUUGUCUAGCUUACCUAAGCAGUUUGAUUCACUAGUUCAUACUCUCAAAUACGGCAACGGGAAAGAGACACUUACUAUGAAUGAAGUUACCGCUUCAGCAUAUGCCGAGGAAAUUGAGCUAAAAGAGAGUGGGCUUCUAGGAAAAUCAAAGUCAAGUGCGGAUGCUUUGGUUGCAAGUAGAGGGAGGUCUGAAAAGAGGACUACAGGUCAGAGUAAAGGUAGAUCCAAGAGCAGAGAUUCAAGGUCGAAGUCUAGACCAAAGAAUCAACCAAAAGCUAGAGAAUGUUGGAUAUGCGGGAAAGAAGAACACUACAAGAAAGAGUGCCCUGAAAGGAAGAACGGGAAACAAGAUUCUGCAAAUGUAGUACAUGAAAGAGAGGAACCUAUGGUCUUAACAGCAAGCGUCCAAGACACUAUGGAUGAAUAGGUCAUGGAUUCUGGGUGUACUUUCCACAUUACACCAGAUAGAGAUGUCUUGUAUGACUUCAAGGAGCUUGAUGGCGGAAAGGUGAUGAUGGGUAACAACACUCACAGCGAAGUCAAAGGCAUUGGAAAAAUCAAGAUCAUAAACUCAGAUGGAGCUACCGUGAUAUUAACUGAUGUGAGAUACAUACCAACCAUGAGCAAAAAUCUCAUCUCUUAUGGCCAGCUAGAGAAGAACAGGUGCAAAUAUGAAGGGAAAGACUUCAUAGUUACUUUCUACAAGAAGGGCCAGAAAGUGAUUUCAGGAAAAUAUGAGAACGGGCUGUACUAUUUGCAGGGAACAGUUGUGAGAGGAGAAGCAUCUGUGGUCAGGACAGUGGUAAAUCUAACAAACAGAUGGCAUUCAAGGUUAGGACAUAUGAGUCUUAAGAACAUGAAUCUUCUGGUCAAAGGAGGUUAUCUAAACUCAAAGGAAGUCCACACUUUAGAUUUCUGUGAAAAGUGUGUGUUUGGUAAGUCUCACAAGCAGAGUUUUCCAGUUGGCAAACACACUACUACGGGUAUUUUGGAAUACAUUCACAGUGAUCUUUGGGGCUCAGUGUCAAACGAGCCAAGCAUGACAGGGUGUAGAUACUUUCUUACUUUCAUUGAUGAUUACUCAAGGAAGGUUUGGAUCAGAUUCCUAAGGAGUAACGACGAAGUGUUUGAAAACUUUUCAGAGUGGAAAGCACUGGUGGAAAAUCAGAAGAGUAAGAAGAUAAAGUGUCUACGAACUGAUAAUGGAUUAGAGUUCUGCAACAAUCAGAUGGAUAAGCUAUGUCAGGAUUCAAGGAUUAAAAGACAUCGAACUUGCACUUAUACUCCACAGCAAAAUGGAGUAUCUGAGAGGAUGAAUCGGACAAUAGCUGAGAAGAUCAGCUGUAUGUUAGCAGAAACAGGAAUGGAAAAGAAAUUUUGGGCUGAGGCAGCUUCCACUGCAGUUUAUCUCAUAAACAGAUCACCAAAUGCAUCUCUGAAGUUCAAGAUUCCUGAAGAGGUUUGGUCAGGAUCAAAGGUUGAUUAUAGUCAUCUCAGACGGUUUGGUUGUGUUGCAUAUGUUCAUGUAAUACAAGACAAGAUGAGUCCAAGAGCUGUUAAAGGGAUUUUCUUAGGAUAUCCACAGGGUACUAAAGGUUACAGGGUUUGGAUUCCGGAGGAUAGAAAAUGUACUAACAGCAGGAAUGUAGUCUUUGAUGAGGAAAAGCUGUAUAAGGACCGAGAUCAAAAUGAAGUAACAAAAUCUACAAAGAAGAAGAAAGUUACAUUCAAAGCUGGAUUGAUCCAAGGACCUACUCCAAAUGGUUCGGUUCAAGAGUCCACUGGUCAAGGUGGAGAAGUUUCAGAAAGCACAGAUUCUGCUAGUCAAGGUGGAGCUACUUCGGAAAAUUCAGAAUCAGAAGAGGAGCAGGAAUCUGAGGAAGAACAAGAAAAUCAGGAUGAUGAAGAGUCUCUUGAUGAUUAUUUGCUGGCAAGAGACAGAGUGAGAAGAACUAUCAAACCACCAUCGAGGUUUGAGGAUGCUGAUUAUUUAGCCUAUGCUUUAACUAGCGCUGAAAGCAUAGAGUUAAAUGAACCAAGGUCAGUCGUAGAAGCUAGACGAAGUAAAGACUGGAAGAAGUGGAAGCAGGCUAUGGAAGAGGAAAAACAAUCUCUGGACAAAAAUGAAACUUUUGAGAUUGUCUCUAAGCCGAGAAAGCAAAAAAUAGUUGGGUGUAAAUGGAUCUUCAAGUACAAGGAGGGCAUUCCAGGUGUUGAAGAACCUAGAUACAAAGCAAGACUUGUAGCUAAGGGAUUUACACAGGUUGAAGGAGUGGAUUACAAUGAAAUAUUUGCUCCGGUGGUUAAGCAUGUUUCUAUUAGAAUCAUGUUGUCAGUUGUGGUUAAUUUUGAUCUGGAAUUGGAGCAACUAGACGUGAAGACUGCUUUCUUACAUGGUACACUUGAUGAAGUCAUUUACAUGAGUCAGCCAGAGGGUUUUACAGAGAAGGGAAACGAAGACAAGGUCUGUCUUCUUAAGAAAUCUCUAUAUGGUUUGAAACAGUCACCUAGACAAUGGAAUCAGAAGUUUGAUGAAUUCAUGAAGUCAAUGGAGUUUCAAAGGAGCGCUAGGGAUCCAUGUGUUUACACUAAGGGAUCAUAUAUUGAUGAUAUGGUUUAUCUCUUACUAUAUGUCGAUGACAUGCUUGUGGCAGCAAAGGAUAUGGAAAAGAUCAAAGUUUUGAAAGCAAGCUUAAGUAAAAAGUUCGAGAUGAAGGAUCUAGGACCAACGACUAGAAUUCUUGGUAUGGAUAUCAUCAGGGACAGAAAGAAAGGUACUCUCAAGUUAUCACAGGAAAGAUAUCUUAAGCAGGUUUUAAGAACUUUUAACAUGGAGGAUUGCAAGGCUGUUGUAACUCCAAGUAAUUCGCAGUUUAAGCUUAAGAGUCUAACAGAGUAGGAGGUAAAAGCAGAGAGAAGAUUGAUGGAUUCAGUUCCCUAUGCAAGUGCAGUGGGGAGUCUGAUGUAUGCUAUGAUCGGCUCACGACCUGAUCUUGCCUUUGCCAUUGGAUUAGUUAGCAGAUUCAUGGCGAAUCCAGGAAGAUCUCAUUGGGCUGCGGUUAAGUGGAUUUUGAGGUAUUUAAAAGGAGCUACAGGAGUGUGUCUUACUUUCACAAAAUCAGAGAAAUUUGAGAUUGAAGGGUUUUGUGAUUCAAAUUAUGCUACAGACUUAGACAGGAGAAGGUCGGUUUCAGGCUAUGUUUUCAAAGUUGGUGGCAAUACGGUCAGUUGGAGAUCAUGUCUACAACAAGUAGUUGCUUUAUCUACUACGGAAGCAGAAUAUAUGUCUCUAUCUGAGGCUACUAAGGAAGGUCUGUGGCUUAAGGGAUUGUGUGGUGAAUUGGGUUUCAAAGGGGACAGUUUUAAACUCAAUUGUGAUUCACAAAGUGCUAUAUGUUUAGCAAAGAACAGUGUGCACCAUGACAGAACAAAGCAUGUUGAUACCAAAUAUCAUUUUAUCAGAAAUAUAGUCGAUGAAGGUUCAGUCAAGAUCCUAAAGGUUCACACUACAGCUAAUCCAGCAGACAUGCUCAUGAAGUGCUUACCUGGAAACACGUUUGAGAAGUUCAUGGUGCUUCUCAAUGUCAUUCCGUAAUUGUUUCCAAGACGUCUUGAGAUUGCUCUUGUCGGUUUGGGCAUCUCGCAAGACAUAGGAUAUUGAUUAGAAAAAUUCAGUAUCAGGACAAAGGAAGAAAUCGACACAUGUUUCAGGUGGUAAAAUCUGGAAAUCAAGAGUUGGAUUUUAUCGGUUCACCAAUUCAAAGAGGAGAAGAGGAGACAUGGUUUUAUGAAAAACAAUUUGUCAUCUCAAGGGAAAUCGAUGGAGAAAAGGAAAUCUUUCAAAUGGUCAAAUUUGAAAUAAAAUCUCAUAAAAGUUUUUCGGUGGUUCUUACCUGACUUUGGAGAAGUUUGUAAUUGAAAUCAAAGGUGUUGUCUGGGCAGCUGGAGAUGCAUAAGAAACACAUUCAGAUUUCAAAGUUUAUGGCUUAAAUCGCAGAUGAAGAGAAACUGAAAUGGUUGUCACGGUAAAGAGAUGACUAAAAGAGUUUCAGGUUUACCUGAGAUUGAGCUUAGCGGCGUCGGUUAAGACUGCAGCAGAAUUGUCUGACGGUGAAGUCAGUGGAAGGCUGGAAGCCACAGUGAUUCACCAUCGAAGAAGCAAAUAGAUCGAGAAUAGUCGACGAUUCUCGCAUCUAGACAAAUUAUCUUGUGGUGGAGAUUACAGGCAACAGUGAUGAACACCAUUAGCGACAAACGGCGGUGAAGCUGGAGUUGUGGUGCUUCAUUUGCAGAGACGGCGGCAAGAUUCAUCGGCUCGUUUAAAGCCAUGAAUCGUGACAAUGGCGAGCUCCAAGGACGGCGGUGAAGUCGGAGAAGAAGCAGCGCCGGAAAAGGUCCACUAGAACGGCGAUAUGACGGAGAGGCGACAAAGGAUUUCGUCUCAGGUAAUGGUCGUGUUUUUUUUUUGGGUUGCAUCGACAAGGUGGAGAUUUGUGGAGUUUGUCGAUACAACUAAAGAAGAUAAGGCUGGUCAACUCGUCAUUAUCUGGUCAAAGUUUUGCUUAUUGGGCUUAAACCCAAGCUGGUGUGUUUACAAGAAGAAAAACAAAGUCAUGGGCUUACAUGUUUAAAACCCAAUUGGUGUCUGCUGGUAUAUAAACGAGACAAGGGUUUUAAACGUGAAAAAGGGGAAGCAGAGAUAAUUAACAGAAGGAGCAGAGAGAUAGAGUCACGGUGAAGAGAUUCUAGGUCAUCGAUCUUCUUCAAACUGAGUUGUCUUCUUCACGUCACGUCUUUGAGCAAGGUUAAUAGUUUUGGGUUUUUUCUACUUGUGGUAUCUGAAACAAGUCGAAAGAUAGACGUGAGGUUAUACGUGAGAGAGAAGAAACUAAAUUCUUUGUAAACACUUGAUUGUUCUAGUGGAUCGUUGAGAGUACCGUCUCUCCCCAGACGUACCGAAAGAGAAUUGGGUUACCAAAUUUCUUGUGUCUUGCUUAAAAACAACAAACAAACUAAGUAUCAAGGUUAAAUUGAUCUAAGUAGUUCAGGUUAAGAGCUAAGACUAGAGGUUGAAAUCAUUAUUAAAAC
rnacentral:lncRNA from 1 species